UACGUAGGGGGCAAGCGUUGUCCGGAUUUAUUGGGCGUAAAGGGCUCGUAGGUGGUUUGGUAAGUCGGAUGUGAAAUCUCCAGGCUCAACCUGGAGGGGUCAUUCGAUACUGCCAUGACUAGAGUUCGGUAGGGGAGACUGGAAUUCCUGGUGUAGCGGUGAAAUGCGCAGAUAUCAGGAGGAACACCGAUGGCGAAGGCAGGUCUCUGGGCCGAUACUGACGCUGAGGAGCGAAAGCGUGGGGAGCGAACAGG
rnacentral:rRNA from 1 species